rnacentral:rRNA from 1 species
ACUUCUUACUGAAUCUAUAAGUAAAGAAAGAGCAGACCUAGGGAAUUGAAACAUCUUAGUACCUAGAGGAAAAGAAAGUAAAAACGAUUCCCUUAGUAGUGGCGAACGAAAUGGGAAGAGCCUAAACUUUUAAAAUUUAAUUUUUAAAAGGGUUGUGGGAUAGAAAAAUCUGAUACCGUAAGGUGAAAAGAUAAAAAAGAAGAAAUGUGAAUUUUUUCUUUUCGAAAUUAGGUGAAAUAAUUGGGAAAUUAUACCGAAGAAAGUGAAAGUCUUGUAACCAAAAAUUUCAAUAAAAAAUUCUAUUCCCGAGUAGCAUGGGGCACGUGGAAUCCCGUGUGAAUCUGCGAGGACCACCUCGUAAGGCUAAAUAUUCCUGGAUGUCCGAUAGCGAAUAGUACCGCGAGGGAAAGGUGAAAAGAACCCCGGGAGGGGAGUGAAAUAGAACGUGAAAUUGCAAGCCCACAAACAGAAGGAGAACGACUUAGCGUUUAACUUCGUGCCUGUUGAAGAAUGUUCCGGCGACUUAUAGUUAGUGGCAGGUUAAAAUAGAGAUAUUGGAGCCAUAGUGAAAGCGAGCUUGAAUAGAGCGUUUGUCACUAGUUAUAGACCCGAACCCGGUUGAUCUAACCAUGGCCAGAAUGAAACUUGGGUAACACUAAGUGGAGGUUCGAACCGACUGAUGUUGAAAAAUCAGCGGAUGAGCUGUGGUUAGGGGUGAAAUGCCAAUCGAAACCGGAGCUAGCUGGUUCUCCCCGAAAUGUAUUUAGGUGCAGCGGUUAAUAUUAUAGCGUAGGGGUAAAGCACUGUUUCGGUGCGGGCUGGUAAUUCGGUACCAAAUCGAGGCAAACUCUGAAUACUACGUGUACAGUUAACCAGUAAGACUAUGGGGGAUAAGCUUCAUAGUCAAGAGGGAAACAGCCCAGAUCACCAGCUAAGGCCCCUAAAUAAUUACUAAGUGAUAAAGGAAGUGGAAAGGCUUAGACAACCAGGAGGUUUGCUUAGAAGCAGCAAUCCUUUAAAAAGUGCGUAAUAGCUUACUGGUCUAGCAAUUCUGCGCCGAAAACUUACGGGACUAAGUAAUUUGCCGAAGCUGUGAGAUAGUUUAUGAAAAAGUAGACAAGAUUUUAUAUCUUGGAGAAAACUUACUAGCAAUGUCUAGGACAUACUAUCGGUAGGGGAGCGUUCUGUUGUAGGUUGAAGUGUUAGCGUUUCCUCCGCAAGGCUCGUCCACGGAGGGUGAGUCAGGUCCUAAGGUGAGGCUGAAAAGCGUAGUUGAUGGAUAAUAGGUUAAUAUUCCUAUACUGAUUAUUACUGGUAUCGAGGGACGAAGAAGGCUAAACUAGCCAGAAAUUGGUUACUGGUUUAAGGAUUCAAGGUGUUGAAGAUUAGAGAAAAUAAUCUGAGCUGAGAUCUGAAUGCAAGAUUUAAAAAAUCAAAGUAGUUGAUGUCAUACUUCCAAGAAAAGCUCGCUAUGCCUUAAGUAAUAAUUACCUGUACCUUAAACCGACACAGGUAGGUAGGUAGAGAAUACCAAGGAGCGCGGGAGAACCCUCCUUAAGGAACUCGGCAAAAUAGCUCUGUAACUUCGGAAGAAAGAGUGCCUUUUAGGCUGCAAUAUCAAGUUCCAAGCAACUGUUUAGCAAAAACACAGGUCUCCGCUAAGUUGUAAAACGACGUAUGGGGGCUGACGCCUGCCCAGUGCCGGAAGGUUAAAGAAGUCGGUUAGCGUAAGCAAAGCUGGUAACUGAAGCCCCGGUGAACGGCGGCCGUAACUAUAACGGUCCUAAGGUAGCGAAAUUCCUUGUCAGGUAAGUUCUGACCCGCACGAAUGGCGUAAUGAUUUGGAAGCUGUCUCGAGGAGGGACUCGGUGAAAUAGAACUGUCUGUGAAGAUGCGGACUACCUGCGCCUGGACAGUAAGACCCUAUGAAGCUUUACUGUAUCCUGAAAUUGGAUUUCGAUUUUCUUUGCGCAGAAUAGGUGGGAGACGUUGAGAUUAGUCUUUCGGGAUUAAAAGGAGUCAUUAGUGAGAUACCACUCUUAGAAAAUUUAAAUUCUAACUUCAUACCGUAACCCGGUUGAAAGACAGUUUCAGGUGGGCAGUUUGAAUGGGGCGGUCGCCUCCCAAAGGGUAACGGAGGCG